AUACGGGGGGUGCGAGCGUUAUUCGGAAUUACUGGGCGUAAAGAGCGCGUAGGCGGUCUUUUAAGUCAGGUGUGAAAGCCCGGGGCUCAACCCCGGAAGUGCACUUGAAACUAAGAGACUUGAGUAUGGGAGAGGGAAGUGGAAUUCCUGGUGUAGCGGUGAAAUGCGUAGAUAUCAGGAGGAACAUCAGUGGCGAAGGCGACUUCCUGGACCAAUACUGACGCUGAGGCGCGAAGGCGUGGGGAGCAAACAGGAUUAGAUACCCCAGUAGUCC
rnacentral:rRNA from 1 species